rnacentral:rRNA from 1 species
UACGGGGGGAGCAAGCGUUGUUCGGAUUUACUGGGCGUAAAGGGCGCGUAGGCGGCCACCGCAAGUCGACUGUGAAAUCUCCGGGCUUAACCCGGAAAGGUCAGCCGAUACUGCGGGGCUAGAGUGCAGAAGGGGCAACUGGAAUUCUCGGUGUAGCGGUGAAAUGCGUAGAUAUCGAGAGGAACACCUGCGGCGAAGGCGGGUUGCUGGGCUGACACUGACGCUGAGGCGCGAAAGCGUGGGGGAGCGAACAGG